CUCAGAUCUCAAGCUGGUUUUUGCUCAUCUUGUGCCAUUACAAAAAGGACCAGGCCAUUUGCAUAUCUGACUGAUCCCAACCAAAAGGGAACAGAUUCAAAACACAGGACUGCUCUCUCUGCAUGAGAGACACUGCAACCCCAGACAAUCGCUUCAGCCUUGUUAGGCCUCGUCAGUGAGGUAUAGCGGAUAUCCCUCUAGGCAUCCCUCUAGGCAUCAUGAGCAAGGGGUCCACGUUUGGGUUACCCAUUUAACUCAUGGUGAGCAAAAAACAAGGAGAAAUUACCAUGUGUGUAGAGGCAUCUUACUCAAUUUCCCAAACUUAGAUCCAUAUGUAGAGAAAAAAAAUAGUGUAAUAAUUUGGUUGAUAACUAGUCAAAAAAAAAAAGAAUAGUCCUAUAACAUAAUAAUAUAAUAUUAAGGAAUAGCAACAGAAUUAUAUUAUUCUGUUAUAGGACUAUUCAUU